rnacentral:rRNA from 1 species
AUUGAACGCUGGCGGCAGGCCUAACACAUGCAAGUCGAACGGUAACAGGAAGAAGCUUGCUUCUUUGCUGACGAGUGGCGGACGGGUGAGUAAUGUCUGGGAAACUGCCUGAUGGAGGGGGAUAACUACUGGAAACGGUAGCUAAUACCGCAUAACGUCGCAAGACCAAAAAGGGGGACCUUCGGGCCUCUUGCCCUCGGAUGUGCCCAGAUGGGAUUAGCUAGUUGGUGGGGUAACGGCUCACCUAGGCGACGAUCCCUAGCUGGUCUGAGAGGAUGACCAGCCACACUGGAACUGAGACACGGUCCAGACCCCGACGGGAGGCAGCAGUGGGGAAUAUUGGACAAUGGGCGCAAGCCUGAUCCAGCCAUGCCGCGUGGGUGAAGAAGGCCUUCGGGUUGUAAAGCCCUUUGGUUGGGAAAGAAAAGCAACAGGUUAAUACCCCGCUGUUUUGAGGGUACCCAAAGAAUAAGCACCGGCUAACUUCGUG